UUCCUCCUUGCCCCUUAUCUUACCAAGACGAGUUGGUCGUCCUUCCCUUCCCCAUCCUCCUUUCACUUUCACUCCCACUCCCGUCUCUUCCCGCCUCGCUCGCUCUGCCUGCGGCUCGUCUCCUUCCAGGGCGCAUCGAUCUUUAGUUCCAUCUUUGUCAUGGCCCUGCUUCCUUCGUCUUUCGCGUACGGUUGAGGACUUGAGGUUCUUCUCCGUCCCAAUGUCGCCUUGCGCCGGUUUUCCUUCCUCUUUCCUCCUGCUCUUACAUUUCCUUGUUCUCACUUCUCUUCGUCUUCAUUCCUCCUGCUCUUACAUUUCCUUGUUCUCACUUCUCUUCGUCUUCAUGUUGCAGCCUUGCAGGGUUAUACAGCUCGUUGUUUGCCGCUCGGCUUGCUGCUUGGCAAGGUAAGGUCUUUCUUGCUCCUCUCCUGUUCGAUAAAAUGCCUCUGAGCUCACACGUUCUUUCUUGCUUCUUUCCCUUGUUCCUUGGGUGUGGUUCUCUGGCAAGGUGAGACGUGUUUCCAUCGCUGUACUUGAUUGUCCGUUGGUGCAUGCUCUAUUAACCUGUGAAAAACUGUGUCCUUCUUUACCUUGUUCCAUGCCUUGCCUACUGUUCUUGCCUGCUGAGACCAUGUCGGCAUGGGACUAAGAUCCAGUGCCUCGCCUCUGUCAAGGCACGACGCGCCUUGAGGCCUGGAAUCCAACGUCCAAUGUGCAUCCAACGGCUAUCCAGAGUCAACGCGGAAACUACCAGGCCUCCACUCGUCCCCGUCCUCGAUUCCUCACGCGCGAGGCAAAAUAAACCGCGGGAAGAAAGCUUCGCGGGCGGGAACUCACUCUGCCGCCGUCGCCGCCGUGGGGAGGGAGGCAUGGGAGCUCCCGCGGCGGCCACCGGAUAAACGGCCUCCGCUCGUCUCUGACGGUGCCCUCGCUCCCCUGCGACUCUUCCUCGUCCCGCUGUGCUGGCAGCUGUCCGUCGCGACCGGCCACCUCUGUCUGCUCCCUCCGCCCUCAUCCGGCGGCUCGCUUCACCCACCUCUGGCUGCUCCCUCCGCCCGCAUCCAGCGGCUCGCUCCGCCCCCUCCAACGCUCGUCGGCCACGGCGCCUCCCCGUGCAGCAGAAAACUGAACGCCAACUUCAGUUCAGACUCCAACAGACAACAGAAUUCUUGUGCUGAUUGAGAUGAUGUGUUACGCAAUUUGAUUAUUGUGCUAUGCAAUUGUGAGCGGUGUGCAUUUGCAAGCCAACUAAAGUUGCCUAAAAAAAAGGGCAACCUGGUGCAUGUAGCUCCCGCUUGCGCAGGGUCCAGGGAAGGGUCCGACCACUUUGGGUCUAUAGUACGCAGCCUUUCCCUACAUUUCUGUAAGAGGCUGUUUCCAGGACUUGAACCCAUGACCUCAUGGUCACAAGACAGCAGCUUUACCACUGCGCCAAGGCUCCCCUUCAAAAAGGGCAAAGGUAUGUUCAUGGCAGAAGCUAUACAUGAUAUAUAGUUGCCACUCAUUGCUAAACUAAAUACUGAAAUUUCAUGGAAGCAACAAAAAAAAUGAUGGUGGACAGGCUCAAGUGAGAGUGGAAAAGGACGAUGACGCUGAAAGAGCAAAUGUGGAGCUUCAAGAGGGCAACACGGCCAUCAGUUACACACAGCUCUUAAUGGCUCCCCCUGGUGGUUUUUAUGAUGAAGAUCUGAUCUAACAUAUGUAUGCUGCUCUUGCCUUGCGUCUGUCUCAUAGUCAGGGCGGACCAUCGGAGGGGGACGUCCAUUGGAGGGGGUCCGUCGUCGACAGCCACUGGAACGGGCGGAGGCAGCCGCCUGAUUGGAGACCUUCAGCAGCCGCGUUCAUGGUCUGUUUGCCGGAGCGGGGCGGGGAGGAGUUGGGGCAGAGCGGCAUGCCACCGUCGUUGGAGCUCCAUUCCCCACGGCGGCCGCCGCCGGAGCUCCCUUCCCCACGGCAGCGACGGCGGCAGAGGAGUUCCCGCCCGCGAGCCAGUGGCGGUUUUUCUUUCCCGUGUUGCCUCGCGUGUGAGGACUCGAGGACGGGGACGAGUGGAGGCCUGGUAGUUUCUGCGUUGACUCUAGAUAGCCGUUGGAUGCACAUUGGACGUUGGAUUCCAGGCCUCAAGGCGCGUCGUGCCUUGACAGAGGCGAGGCACUGGAUCUCAGUCCGUCGGCAUGGCGCACCCUUUCUUUUGCAAUUAUAUGCAUGGGCUCGCGUGCAAGCAGAUUAGUCUGGAAACGUCCAUGCAUUGCCAGCUAAUAGGGGCUCCACAGAAAAAGCAAUAAUCUGAUCCGGUUGGUUUUUUUAGGUAUUCCACUCUUGUUUCUAGUAGAAUUGUAACUUUCGAGCCCUGCCAAGUAUGAUGCUUAUUCACAGAAGGUUUGUCGGAA